GCCGGGCGUGGUGGCUCACGCCUGUAAUCCCAGCACUUUGGGAGGCUGAGGCAGGUGGAUCACCUGAGGUCAGGAGUUCAAGACCAGCCUGGCCAACAUGGCGAGAUCCUGUCUCUA
rnacentral:SRP_RNA from 1 species